UCCUAUUGAUCAUGCAUAAAGUUUUGAUAUCACUUCAUAAUCCCUAGUAACUUAAACUUAAGCUCUAAUAUCAUUUUAUCAAAUCCUAAUCACUUAUAUCAUAAUCCCCAAUGAUUAUAACUUAAGCUCUGUUAUUACUCUGUAAUAUUUAAAUUACUUAUAUUAUAAUCCUUAAUGAUCAUAACCUGAACUCUGAUACUACUUUGUCACAUCCUAUUGAUCUUACAUAAAGUUUUUAAUAUCUCUUCAUAAUCUUUGGUGAUCUUAAACCUAAGCUCUGAUACCACUUUGUCACGCCCCGAACCCAACACCCGGGUCGGAUACGUGAUGGCCGCACACUCCUUAAAGCAAACCCUAAAGAAUAUGCAAGGUCAAAUUAAAUCAUUACAACCUUAACAUCCAUAACAAUUUAUUUCAACAAUAAUUCAUAAAAUCUUGCAUAAUUACAAAUUAAAUUUCUUCAAUCCUCUGAUCAGGUAUC
rnacentral:lncRNA from 1 species